UACAGAGCUCACAAGCGUUGUUCGGAUUCAUUGGGCGUAAAGGGUGCGUAGGUGGUUGGGUAAGUCAAAUGUGAAAUCCCGGAGCUCAACUCCGGAACUGCAUUCGAUACUGCCCGGCUCGAGGAUUGGAGAGGAGACUGGAAUUCACGGUGUAGCAGUGAAAUGCGUAGAGAUCGUGAGGAACACCCGUGGCGAAGGCGGGUCUCUGGACAAUUCCUGACAUUGAGGCACGAAGGCCAGGGGAGCAAACGGG
rnacentral:rRNA from 1 species